GUAAAUAGAGAAAGCAUUCACUCACACAAGAUGGGGAUCUGAAUUUCUGCAAAAAACAAAUCUCUGAAAAAUAAAAUUAGAUUUUAGAAUCUUGAAGAGCAUUUCAAAAGUUUUCAGCUAGUGUCUCAUUGAGAAGGGAUUUUCAUUCUUUUUCUGUGUUCCACCAAAAUUAGAACACAUUUUCUUUCAAAGAUUCUGGGCUUUUGAAUUGCAAGAUGGUUUGAAUUGGAAGCUGUGAUAUUGCUGGUUAUUGGCUACUAUUCCAUUGAUUUCUUGCUUGGUUUUCUUUGCUAGUUUCUUUGAUGAUUCACAACCCUGCUUCUGUUAUUUGUAACCAGGUAUACCUUGAGCUUUGAAUUAUGAAUGAAAUAUAAUAUUGUUCCUGAAGAGUGUAAUAUUUUCAUGGAGUUUGGAGUUCAUGUAUACAUCUUAAGUUUCUUUCUGAUGUCUUCAUUUAAAAAAUCGACUUCUGAUCUUUAACUUCCUCCUCAGUUCCUACUUGAAUACACCAAGGAUGUUGUGUUGUUUUAGGAAAUAGCUAGGAUGUUUAGUAUUGAAGUUUCUAAAUAUUAUCUCUUUCAUAUGCUAAAAUUUAGCCUAGAUGGUUUUGCUUAAAACAUUGAAUAUCAGUCUGCUCUGUACCUUUAUUUUUAGUUAGUUGGCUGUCCAGUGCUCUCAACUGAGUAUCCUAGAUCAGCUUUGAUAAUCAUUGCUUUUCUCUUAGGAUUUCCAUGUAUGAAUGUAUGAAACUAGACCAUUUUUGUAUUGAUUUCAAGCUGGUAAACAGCUCUAAUUGUUUGUCUAGGUGUAUGUUAAAUUUUGACUAGUAUAUUAAGCUUAAAAUAUAGUAUUUUGCUAUCAAGUGCAUUCAUUUAAAUUGUCACUAAUUUCAGCAUGUUUUAAAAGAGAUGAUUGUAUGGCUGAAUUUAGGAUGAUGUGUGUAUAGUUUGAGUGUUUACUUUUCUUUUUACUAAAUGAAUGAUAUUGGUUAAGGUCCAGCAUAUUAGGCAUUUUACUUUCAGUUGGUGCAAAUAUGGCUAUACAUGGGGUAAUGAUUUAAGCCCUCACAGGCUUUAGUCGAUUGAGGCAUUUUGGUCCUGGCAAUGGCCCAAAUCUGGUUAACAGGCUAAAAAAGGGGCUUCAUCGUGCCCAUUCCCCUGAUAUUUUACGCUUGGGCUCAAUUUUGAGACCAGUCGGUUUCAUCCUUGCUCUCUUUUAGCCAGCACCUUUAGUAAUAUACUGGGCCUGCUACUGGCCAAGAUUCUUACCAAUAGCUAACACCCACCCCAUAUUUCCUUGCAUAUAAUAGCUUUAUUUUAAGUCUAAAAUAGUUAAGUAAGAACUCCUUCUGAUUACCUUAAUUAAACAAACCUUCUAAAAUUGAGGUAUGCCAUUCUUUAAUUUAUAACACUUGGCUCUCACAAAUUUAGAUAAGUAAAUUGGGGUGUGCCAUAUACAGGUAUAAUCUUUUAAUUUAUGGCCUCACAUAAUUUAAUUAAUAAUCGCAGUUUGCAUUAGGCCUGAUUUAGAUUAGUAUUACGAUCGGGUAUACGUUUGUGUAACAUAAUUGUAAAUUAAUUUAUUAAAAGACUCGAGGGAUGCAAUCGCGCAACUUCAACGAAACUUCCUUAAUAAAUAAACAAAGUAUUACUAAUAGUGGACACGUUCGCGUGACACGAUUCUUGACGCACCAAAGGAAAAGAGUAUAUGCG
rnacentral:lncRNA from 1 species